UGGUGAAUAAGCCGAUUGUUGUAA
rnacentral:siRNA from 1 species